rnacentral:snoRNA from 1 species
ACCCUCCCUAUUCCUUACCCUUCAGAUCUAAAUAUUUGUCUGAGUGGCUAAAAUAGGAGGAAAAGUAAAACUGAAAUGGACUGAAUAGUUCUUAAUAGCAUACAAGUUCGUUGCAAAUAGGA